rnacentral:rRNA from 1 species
UACAGAGGUCCCAAGCGUUGUUCGGAUUCACUGGGCGUAAAGGGUGCGUAGGCGGUCGGAUAAGUCUGAUGUGAAAUCUUCGAGCUCAACUCGGAAACUGCAUCGGAAACUAUUCGGCUAGAGGAUUGGAGGGGAGACUGGAAUUCUCGGUGUAGCAGUGAAAUGCGUAGAUAUCGAGAGGAACACCAGUGGCGAAGGCAGCUCGCUGGGACGUGACUGACGCUGAGACGCGAAAGCGUGGGGAGCAAACAGG